UACGAAGGGGGCUAGCGUUGCUCGGAAUCACUGGGCGUAAAGGGUGCGUAGGCGGGUCUUUAAGUCAGGGGUGAAAUCCUGGAGCUCAACUCCAGAACUGCCUUUGAUACUGAGGAUCUUGAGUACGGGAGAGGUGAGUGGAACUGCGAGUGUAGAGGUGAAAUUCGUAGAUAUUCGCAAGAACAUCAGUGGCGAAGGCGGCUCACUGGCCCGGUACUGACGCUGAGGUGCGAAAGCGUGGGGAGCAAACAGG
rnacentral:rRNA from 1 species